rnacentral:sRNA from 1 species
UGGUUGUACGGCCGAUGUGACUCUCCC